UGGGGAAUAUUGCACAAUGGGCGCAAGCCUGAUGCAGCCAUGCCGCGUGUAUGAAGAAGGCCUUCGGGUUGUAAAGUACUUUCAGCGGGGAGGAAGGCGAUAAGGUUAAUAACCUUGUCGAUUGACGUUACCCGCAGAAGAAGCACCGGCUAACUCCGUGCCAGCAGCCGCGGUAAUACGGAGGGUGCAAGCGUUAAUCGGAAUUACUGGGCGUAAAGCGCACGCAGGCGGUCUGUCAAGUCGGAUGUGAAAUCCCCGGGCUCAACCUGGGAACUGCAUUCGAAACUGGCAGGCUAGAGUCUUGUAGAGGGGGGUAGAAUUCCAGGUGUAGCGGUGAAAUGCGUAGAGAUCUGGAGGA
rnacentral:rRNA from 1 species